UUGACAACACCGAGUGCACAGAGCCAUUGAUAAAUCAAAGGUCCUUGAUUAUCCAUAACUGACCGGAUAUACCGCAGUGUAACAAAAUAACAUAGAGAAAAUUAUAUUGGAAAAAGCAUAAGAACGUGUCACUAUCGUUUUAUGGUAGGCCCAUCUGGUGGGAUCUUCUCACCACUCUUGGUGUCUCUCCCCUGGGGAGGAUGGAUGUGGAGGCAGCAUCUCAGUCUCCCUCCACCACGGUGGCGGGGCCCUCCACACAGUGGUGUCUGCCAGAGUGGAGGAGUAGGAAGGCGGGCUCAGGGAACAUCUGACUGGAUCUUCAAAAGGUUCUACAGCUGCACCAUCGAGAGCAUCCUGACUGGUUGCAUCA